GACGUGGUGGCCGAAUGGUUAAGGCGAUGGACUGCUGAUACAUUGGGCUCUGCACGCGUGGGUUAGAAUUCCACCUUCGUCG